rnacentral:rRNA from 1 species
AUUGAACGCUGGCGGCAGGCCUAACACAUGCAAGUCGAGCGGAUGAAGGGAGCUUGCACCUGGAGUCAGCGGCGGACGGGGGAGUAAUGCCCAGGAAUCUGCCUGGUAGUGGGGGAUAACGUCCGGUAACGGGCGCUACUACCGCAUACGUCCUGAGGGAGAAAGUGGGGAUCUUCGGACCUCACGCUAUCAGAUGGGCCUAGGUCGGAUUAGCUAGUUGGUGGGGUAAAGGCCUACCAAGGCGACGAUCCGUAACUGGUCUGAGAGGAUGAACAGUCACACUGGAAGUGAGACACGGUCCAGACUCCUGCGGGAGGCCGCAGUGGGGAAUAUUGGACGAGGGGCGAGUGCCUGAUCCAGCCAUGCCGCGUGUGGGAAGAAGGUCUUCGGAUUGUAAAGCACUGUAAGUUGUGGGGAAGUGCAGUAAGUUUAUCCCUGGCUGUUUUGACGUUACCAACAGAAUAAGCACCGGCUAACUUCGUG